UACGAAGGGGGCUAGCGUUGCUCGGAAUCACUGGGCGUAAAGCGCACGUAGGCGGCUUUUUAAGUCAGGGGUGAAAUGCCAAGGCUCAACCUUGGAACUGCCUUUGAUACUGGAGACCUUGAGUCCGGGAGAGGUGAGUGGAAUUGCGAGUGUAGAGGUGAAAUUCGUAGAUAUUCGCAAGAACACCAGUGGCGAAGGCGGCUCACUGGCCCGGAACUGACGCUGAGACGCGAAAGCGUGGGGAGCAAACAGG
rnacentral:rRNA from 1 species